rnacentral:lncRNA from 1 species
UCUUGCGCUUGAGCAGCGGCAGCCCGAGCGCUGCCCAGUAGUAGCGCUAGCAGCAGCGCGUACAUCUUAUACCACCACAGGCUCCAAGGUAGGCGUCAGGUGCGACGCGGGGUUGUCAUGCCCUGUCUCUCCCCGGCUUCCUCCCACGCAUCUUAGCCCCAACUAAGCAAAAGAUGAUAUUAGGUGAGAACUUCCUUGAUGCGAUGUGUGUUGACUGGCCAGCUUUUGCGAGUAGACUCGGGCUUCGUUCGGCGAAUUACCAAUUCCCACCAAACCCUUGUUG